GCUGGUCCAGGCGAGGAGGCGCCCUCGGCAUUGGAGGCUCCUCUCUCCUCCUCCUCCUGGCUCCUGCCAUCCAAGUUUCCCCAGGUUGCCUGGCCGGCCAGAAAAAGAGCCGUUUCCCUCGGGGCUGGGAGGGCGAGGGUGCUCCUGGCCAUGCGCAGAGUGCCCCCCUGGGCGAGGAGCAUGGCCCUGAGCUUGUGAGGUCUCUUUGGAAAGGCCACCGCAGCCGCCAGCCCCCCUCUCUCUUCCAUCUCUGCCGGCCAGGAAGCCCCCCCAGGUUGCAUGGAUGAGCAGAGGAGGAAGAAGAAGCUGACCAACUACACCAUUGGUCUCCUCUUCCUCUCCGGAGGGAUUGAGUAUGCGGUGAUCCUGCCAACCAUCUGGGCCUACUUGCAAACUCUGAAUGCUGAGCCCUAUUUCUUGGGCCUGGGCAUCUCUGCCUUUAGUUUUGCUGGACUGAUCACAGGACCGCUUUUUGGAUAUUGGUCUGACCGUACCCGUCAAACCAAGGCCAUCAUCCUCUUUGCCAACCUGUUCCAGAUAGCAGGGAAUUUUAUGUACUUUGUUGGGGGUUCCAAAUGGAUGCUUCUCAGCAGUCGACUUGUGGCAGGUGUGGGGACUGGCGUGGGAGCAUCCAUUUUUGGCUACCUCACACGAUCCACCACCUCUCAGGAGCGUGCCACUGUGUUUGCAGCUGUCAUGGCAUGCCGGCAGGUUGGGCUACUCAUUGGACCAGCCUGCAACCUCUUCCUGCGACUCUGUGACUUCCGGGUUGGGCCCUUCGUGGUCAACAAGUUCACAUCACCGGGGCUCUUCAUGUGUCUGGUGUGGAUCCUGCUUCAAAUCCUUGUUGUGACCAUGUACUAUGACCUACAGCCGCCACUUUCUGCCCGUUCCUCCAAGGCUGUGCCGACAGCAUCGCGGGAUGCCCUGGAAGAAGAAGAGGAGGAGCCUCUCAUGAAGCAUGAAACAGGUCAAGAGGAAGCUGCAGAGACUGGCAGCUAUGGCAGCACAACUGUGGAGCAUCAGGGACCUUACCUGGGGGACGAGUGUCGGUAUGUCCCCAAUGGACACCUGGCGGAUGAGGAUGCAACCGCGGAGAAGGACAAGAACCCCUUCCAUGAUUUCAGCUCCAUCAGAGAGUACCUGAGGGAGGAGGUAGUGGUUCUUCUCACUGCCCAGUUUAUCACACUCUUCAAUCAAACAGCACUUGAGACCAUGAUAACCCCAAUCACACAACGGUACUUGAACUUUGGGGAACUGGAGAACAGCAUCAUGUAUUUCCUAUGUGGUGUGGAGGUCAUUGGUGGCUUCUUUCUGGUGCGCUGCCUUAGCACUCGCCUGACAGACCGUGUGAUCUUACUCCUGGGUCUGAUCAUCUGCAACAUUGCCUGUAUCUGGUGCUUGGUCUUCCUGGCAUGGCCCCGAGGUUCCUUUGCUGUCCUCCUGUCGGAGCUGGUGACUGGUGUAUUCCUGCAGGUUCUAGGCCUGCCCUUUGUUGCAGUCUCCCAGGUGUCACUUUUUUCUAAAGUCACAGCUGAGAGAACCCAAGGGUUCAGCCAAGGUCUCCGUCGCUCUGUCGGGGGGAUUGCUACCAUCCUGGGUCCUCUAUGGGCUGGAGGUUUGACCAAUAACCUUUACAUCAUGCUGGGGGUAAUGAUGGGGCUGCUGAGCUUACUAAUGGUUAUGGUAGGACUAUCAUAUGCCUACCUUGUAGAACCACCGGCUGGAUACCUGUCACCACGAACAUCUCAAGACGAAUGCAAUUCAUGAAAAGUCCGGUUGACUGGAGAUGCCUUUGAAGGAAUGUGAAGUGCACGCUCACCCAGGUGUCAUUUUGACUGCUGCUGUGGACCCCCACCCUUCUCCAGCUGGAUCCUGGUUCCAUAUCGCUCAUCUCUUGCUGGGAUGAGAAGCAGGCAAGAGCUUGGAUUCAUCCAAAAGAAGAACAAGAUCCAGCCAAGAAGCUGGCUAUGCCUUCCACACUCCCAUCUCCACCUGAUCAGAUCUGCUUUGCUCUCAUCUCUGCCCUGUGCCUGAGACCUGACUCAGUGCUUCCCCCUAAGGGUGGGGUCUGCUGUUUCCUUUCACACCCUCCACAGCAUCACUCUUUUUCUUGCCCCUAUGGGGCCCAGCAGGCUAUUGUCUUUGGACCCUGGAAAGGAACUGUAUAGGAGAUUGUCUGAACAACCUCAAACAUCUGAUUUGUUCUCUGACUCAUGCAUUGGGCAGUGAGCCCCAUGAAUGCUGCUCUACUCCACUCUUCUUUAAAACUGGUGCCCCCCACAUGUCCAUGCAGGUUGAGUAUGGUAAGGGAUUGUAGUCCAGCCUGACCUGGGGUGGACUGGUCUCUCCCUUCCUACACCUUCAGGAGUCUUUGUGUUCUCUCAUCAUCCUUGUUCUCUUACGCAGGAACAGGGCUCAUGUAGCCCUCCAGAUGUUGGACUACAGCUCCCAGCAUUCCUCACUAUCAGCUAUAUUGGCUAGGGUUUACUAGGAGUCACUGGCCAUCAACAUCAGAAGGACUCAUGGAAUUGGCCAUGUUUUCUUGGAGACAUCCAAGGGUGAUGGGGGUAAAGUGGGAUGCCAAUGUAAGUGGAGCAGUGAAUUGCUCUGGAUUUAGGCUGGAUUUUAAGAGGAUAUACCAAGGGGGCAACUGCUAUAAUAAUAAUGAUUUAUUUAUAUUUCCCACCUCUCCCUACAGAUCGAGGUGGGAUUACAAGAUUGUAAAAUACAAAGUCAUAAUAAAUUUACAAUAACUGCAAACCCUCCCUCCAUUAAAAAUAAUAAAAAAUUCAACAAUUAAAAACAACAUCAAUAACAUAAUAUAAUCAGAAUGGAAUGGACUAUCAUGGACCUUUAAAGGGAGGAUGGGGCUAUCUUUCUACGGGGGGGUCAGUCUGGGAAGGCCUGCAGGAAGAGAUUUAUCUUGACGACCAUGAGGUCGUUCCACAAUUUCGGAGCGGCAGAAAAGAAUGUCCUCUGGGAAGUUACAGCUAAUCUGGUCUUCUGUGGCUGAAGUAGAUUCUUCCCAGAGGAGCUGAGAGUGUGGGGUGGAUUGUAUAGGGAGAGGUGUUCCUGCAAGUAGCCUGGACCCAAGCCGUGUAGGG